UUCAAUUUUAUGCAAAGUGAAAAACCUUAGCAAGGCUUGACAUAUUCAGAAUCCUCCUAAAAGAGAGGAGUUCUCUAGAGAACGUGGACAUAAGAAGUGCAUGGCCAUCAUCAGCUUGUAUGGUAAGGUCUUGGGUUAAGUUCCAUAGAAAACACAACCCUCAUGUUUAGUUUCCAACAUUGAAUUUGGAACCCUAAAAAAAUUGUUUUCUUCCAAUUGUCACUCUUUGUUGCACAAUGCUAUGCCAGCACAUGGACGGAGUGAGAAA
rnacentral:ncRNA from 1 species